UUUUGACGUUUCUGGUGAAAGUACGGGAGACAGAAUGAUGAUUUCUGCCCCGCAUCCACGCAUUUAUUUGCCUGUGAUUACACAGAGUGCAAUAUCUAGGUACAAUUAUUUUCGAUUUUGAAUUUGUACAUUGUUGGGGAUGAGUGUUAGGGUUGGACAGGUGUGGUAAGUAUACAUGGUUUGGUAUUUUCUUACUUAUAAACAUUGCGUGGAUGGUAACAUUAACAUAUGGUUUUUGUUUGUUUACAUUUUAAAGGUUUAGGAAAUUUGCAUUUGUCAAUUAAAUUAAGUUUAAAAUUUGUAUUGUUUCUAUUUUCAGAUGCCCCCGCCAGAAGGACGGAAGCAUCGAGCCUCAGGAGUCAUUGCCGGUGGGGAAAGGGAGUUGUUUGUCCCAGUUAUUUGGAGCCGCAGGCUGCGCGCCAAUUUAAGAAAAAAGAGUUGGGCCAGCGUUUCUGGUAAGUAUUCAUGGUGUAAAUUUUGGCCGGCUGACAAGUGUGGUACUUUUUACCACCACAGCGGCCGUUAUUUUGCGUUUGAGUUUUCAUUUUUGUUACAGUAGUUUCACCAGUCGUCAGUGUUUUAUUUUCGUGUACAGAUCCCGCGCCGCCGUCAAUUUAUAUUUUAAUUUGCAGGAGGCUGCCAACCCGCCCAUGGGUCUCGUCGCCAGCCGUCAAAUGGUCCAAAGCGAAGUGGGUUCCCGCGCCGCCGUCUUAUUUCAAGGUCCAAGGAGUUGCUGCAUUUCAGCUGGAGUUCUUCAGUGCGUAGUGGAUUCCCGCGUCGCCGUCCCAUUCCAGGGUCCAGGGAGUUGCUGCACUUCAGUUGGAGUUCAUCAAUGUGUCGGCGAUAGCGUCGUCAUUGCUUUGGAGUCACCAGGGUCGUCGCUUCUGUGGGUCAUCUCGCCAGGGAAAGGAGGCAUCUUAUGGUCGCCGGGCCAAGAUGCUUUGCUUUGGGCCGACGCUCGUAAAUGUCCAUGGAAUUGGAUGCAGAAAAUUGGAUUAGAUAAGUAUAUCUAUGUGUUUAGUUUUGUUUUGUCUGAUUAUAGUUUUUGUUUUCUUUUGCAGGUCCAGAUUGUCCAGGAUUUUAAAUUUGUCCGGUGGGAUUUGGGUAGGAAAGCGAUGCCAUGGAUUUAUAAGAAGCAUCGUUGGGGAGGUUAUAUGUCAGUUUGGAUGUUUUCAGUUUACUGUUGCUGCCAGGAAAAAAGUCGAAUUCAGGGGUCAUGCUUUUGACCUUUUGCCAGGCCAGCAGCGCCGCGCUUAGGAUUCAGAAGGACGAGGGGGCAUCCUAGCAUGGAAAUGGCAUCAAAAAAUUAUGCGUUUUUAAUGUUUUAGUUGCCAGAAACUUCGUUUUUCGAUUGCGUCAAGAUGUUUUCAGUAUACUGUUGUUUCCAGGAAAAAAGACGAAUUCAAGGGUCACGCUUUUGACCUUUUGCCAGGUCAGCAGCGCCGCGCUUAGGAUUCAGAAGGACGAGGGGGCAUCCCAGCAAGGAAAUGGCAUCAAAACAUUAUGCGCUUUUAGUGUUUUAGUUGCCAAAAACUUCGUUUUCCGUUGCGUCUAGGAUAUUGUAGUUGCUACCGGGAAAAAUGUUGUAUUCAGGGGUCACGAUUUUGACCUUUUGCCGUGUCGGCAGCGCCGCACCAAGGGUCAAUAAAAUCGAGGGUGCUUCUUGACAUGGGGACGGCAUCAAAACUUUGUGCAUUUUUAUAUAUAUUAUUAUAUAUUACACUGUUAUAUGUUUUGAUUAAAUUAUUACAAUCUUUAACGGA